GGAGGAAAGCAGGGGAUCGAAAGACCUUAUGCUUUUGGAGCGGCCGAUGUCUGAUUAGCUAGUUGGUAGGGUAAUGGCUUACCAAGGCGACGAUCAGUAGUUGGUCUGAGAGGAUGGCCAGUCACACUGGGACUGAGACACGGCCCAGACUCCUACGGGAGGCAGCAGUGGGGAAUUUUGGACAAUGGGCGCAAGCCUGAUCCAGCAAUGCCGCGUGAGUGAAGAAGGCCUUCGGGUUGUAAAGCUCUUUCAGUUGAGAGGAAAAGAUUGUGACUAAUAAUCACAAUUCAUGACAGUAUCGACAGAAGAAGCACUGGCUAACUACGUGCCAGCAGCCGCGGUAAUACGUAGGGUGCAAGCGUUAAUCGGAAUUAUUGGGCGUAAAGGGUGCGCAGGCGGUUCUGUAAGUCAGAUGUGAAAUCCCCGGGCUUAACCUGGGAAUUGCGUUUGAAACUACAAGGCUUA
rnacentral:rRNA from 1 species